AGCCGUGUGUUGAGCACAUAUCGAACUAUUCUUUCGCCUUUUACUAAAGAAUACCGUGAGCUCGUCACUUAUAACGGCAUACGCACAUUUUUGGAGGGGGUUUUCUCUGGAAACUCU